rnacentral:rRNA from 1 species
UCAAGAAACUUCCACAAUGGGCGAAAGCCUGAUGGAGCGACGUCGCGUGAUGGACGAAGUGCUUCGGCACGUAAACAUCUUUUAUGUGGGAUGAAAUUAUUGACAGUACCACAUGAAUAAGAGGCUCCUAACUCUGUGCCAGCAGGAGCGGUAAUACAGAGGCCCCAAGCGUUAUCCGGAAUCACUGGGCGUAAAGGGUGUCGAGGCGGUUGUAUUAGUCGUUCGUAAAAUCUACGAGCUUAACUUGUAGGCGGCGAACGAAACGGUACGACUUGAGGUUUGGAGAGGUGCGUGGAACUCACGGUGUAGGGGUGAAAUCCGUUGAUAUCGUGGGGAACACCAAAGGCGAAGGCAGCGCACUGGCCAAAAUCUGACGCUCACACACGAAAGCUAGGGUAGCGAAGAGGAUUAGAUACCCCGGUAGUCCCUGAGCGGGCUGGCAAGGCGCAU